UCNCGAAGAUGGACCUCGCGUCUGAUUAGCUAGUUGGCGGGGUAACGGCCCACCAAGGCGACGAUCAGUAGCCGGACUGAGAGGUUGGCCGGCCACAUUGGGACUGAGACACGGCCCAGACUCCUACGGGAGGCAGCAG
rnacentral:rRNA from 1 species